rnacentral:rRNA from 2 species
UAGCACAGAGAGCUUGCUCUCGGGUGACGAGCGGCGGACGGGUGAGUAAUGUCUGGGAAACUGCCUGAUGGAGGGGGAUAACUACUGGAAACGGUAGCUAAUACCGCAUAACGUCGCAAGACCAAAGUGGGGGACCUUCGGGCCUCAUGCCAUCAGAUGUGCCCAGAUGGGAUUAGCUAGUAGGUGGGGUAACGGCUCACCUAGGCGACGAUCCCUAGCUGGU